AUACGUAGGUGGCAAGCGUUGUCCGGAUUUAUUGGGCGUAAAGCGAGUGCAGGCGGUCUUUUAAGUCUGAUGUGAAAGCCUUCGGCUUAACCGAAGAAGGGCAUCGGAAACUGGGAGACUUGAGUGCAGAAGAGGAGAGUGGAACUCCAUGUGUAGCGGUGAAAUGCGUAGAUAUAUGGAAGAACACCAGUGGCGAAGGCGGCUGUCUGGUCUGUAACCGACGCUGAGGCUCGAAAGCAUGGGUAGC
rnacentral:rRNA from 1 species